ACACACAAGCCAAAUCUAACAGAGGAAGACACCAGUGAUGCACGAAGCAAGAAAGCAAAUAAAGUAAUUACUGUUUUGUUUAGUCAGGAUCUUGGCAUAAAAUGGUAGAUCUCACCACCAAGUGUGAAGUGAACUUGCGGAAAGAGUGGAUUUUUAACUGUUACAGACAUCUGACCGCAGUGCACUGUUCUUUUCAAACACGUUGUGAAAAGUGCUGGAGUUGGAUGUGUCGACUACUGCUGUAGGUUUCUGAGCACAAGGAUCAUGCUGACUGACUCAGCUCCCUCCUACAUAUGACAGCAGAAUCAGUGGGAGAACUAAAAACAGCAUGUGAAUUCAGAGUCAGGUGGAUGAAGGACAAGAUGUCAUUGAGCAAAAAGCGUUUGUACUAGAAGAAAGAAGGUCAUACAGGUCUGGAACAACAUG
ensembl:lncRNA